UGGGGAAUAUUGCGCAAUGGGGGCAACCCUGACGCAGCAACGCCGCGUGCGGGACGACGGCCUUCGGGUUGUAAACCGCUUUCAGCAGGGAAGAUAGUGACGGUACCUGCACAAGAAGCCCCGGCUAACUACGUGCCAGCAGCCGCGGUAAUACGUAGGGGGCGAGCGUUAUCCGGAUUCAUUGGGCGUAAAGCGCGCGCAGGCGGCUCUUCAAGCGGAACCUCUAACCCCGGGGCUCAACCUCGGGCCGGGUUCCGAACUGGAGGGCUCGAGUGCGGUAGAGGCAGGCGGAAUGCCCGGUGUAGCGGUGGAAUGCGCAGAUAUCGGGAAGAACACCGAUGGCGAAGGCAGCCUGCUGGGCCGGCACGGACGCUGAGGCGCGAAAGCUAGGGGAGCGAACAGG
rnacentral:rRNA from 1 species